rnacentral:rRNA from 1 species
GAGUUUGAUCAUGGCUCAGAACGAACGCUGGCGGCAUGCCUAACACAUGCAAGUCGAACGCCCCGCAAGGGGAGUGGCGGACGGGUGAGUAACGCGUGGGAACCUGCCCAAUGGUCUGGAAUAACCGCGGGAAACUGCGGCUAAUACCGGAUAAGCCCGAGAGGGGAAAGAUUUAUCGCCGAUGGAGGGGCCCGCGUCCGAUUAGGUAGUUGGUGAGGUAACGGCUCACCAAGCCGACGAUCGGUAGCUGGUCUGAGAGGAUGAUCAGCCACACUGGGACUGAGAUACGGCCCAGACUCCUACGGGAGGCAGCAGUGGGGAAUAUUGGACAAUGGGGGCAACCCUGAUCCAGCAAUGCCGCGUGAGUGAUGAAGGCCUUAGGGUUGUAAAGCUCUUUUGGCGGGGACGAUGAUGACGGUACCCGCAGAAUAAGCCCCGGCUAACUUCGUGCCAGCCGCCGCAGUAAC